CACAUGCAAGUCGAACGGUAACAGGUCUUCGGAUGCUGACGAGUGGCGAACGGGUGAGUAAUACAUCGGAACGUGCCCGAGAGUGGGGGAUAACGAAGCGAAAGCUUUGCUAAUACCGCAUACGAUCUCAGGAUGAAAGCAGGGGACCGCAAGGCCUUGCGCUCACGGAGCGGCCGAUGGCAGAUUAGGUAGUUGGUGGGAUAAAAGCUUACCAAGCCGACGAUCUGUAGCUGGUCUGAGAGGACGACCAGCCACACUGGGACUGAGACACGGCCCAGACUCCUACGGGAGGCAGCAGUGGGGAAUUUUGGACAAUGGGCGCAAGCCUGAUCCAGCCAUGCCGCGUGCAGGAUGAAGGCCUUCGGGUUGUAAACUGCUUUUGUACGGAACGAAAAGACUCUGGUUAAUACCUGGGGUCCAUGACGGUACCGUAAGAAUAAGCACCGGCUAACUACGUGCCAGCAGCCGCGGUAAUACGUAGGGUGCGAGCGUUAAUCGGAAUUACUGGGCGUAAAGCGUGCGCAGGCGGUUAUGUAAGACAGAUGUGAAAUCCCCGGGCUCAACCUGGGAACUGCAUUUGUGACUGCAUAGCUAGAGUACGGCAGAGGGGGAUGGAAUUCCGCGUGUAGCAGUGAAAUGCGUAGAUAUGCGGAGGAACACCGAUGGCGAAGGCAAUCCCCUGGGCCUGUACAGACGCUCAUGCACGAAAGCGUGGGGAGCAAACAGG
rnacentral:rRNA from 1 species